GGUGUAUCCCAGGUGUGCCCAGGUGUGCCCAGGUGUGUCCCAGGUGUAUUUACCUGUCCGUUUGUGUCACUCCUGAACUGGUACUGCAGCCCCAGGUGUGUUACCUGUCCCAGGUGUAUCCCAGGUGUGUUACCUGUCCCAGGUGUAUCUCAGGUGUGUCCCA